rnacentral:rRNA from 1 species
AACGAACGCUGGCGGCAUGCCUAACACAUGCAAGUCGAACGAGACCUUCGGGUAUAGUUGCUCACGGGUGCGUAACGCGUGGGAACCUGCCCUUAGUUUCGGAAUAACUUCCCGAAAUGGGUGCUAAUACCGGAUAAUGUCUUCGGACCAAGAAUUUAUCGCCUUUGGAUGGGCCCGCGUUGGAUUAGCUAGUUGGUAGGGUAAAAGCCUACCAAGGCGACGAUCCAUAGCUGGUCUGAGAGGAUGAUCAGCCACACUGGGACUGAGACACGGCCCAGACUCAUACGGGAGGCAGCAGUGGGGAAUAUUGGACAAUGGGCGAAAGCCUGAUCCAGAAAUGCCGCGUGAGUGAUGAAGGCCUUAGGGUUGUAAAGCUCUUUUACCCGGGAUAAUAAUGACAGUACCGGGAGAAUAAGCGCCGGCUAACUCCGUG